UGAAGGUAUCGAGCUGAAUGGUGGACUGGCUGUAGGUUAGCCUUCGUGCUGUGGAGGCUGAAGAUUGAUCUUCUUUUGUAAUUGUAGUUAACGAUAAUCGCAAUACUAGACCAGACGGCUCCACGGCAGUUGUGAUGCUAAGCAGACAAUACACGGUACUCGCAGUUCUAAACCCAACAAUUUCAUGAGUUUACUCAAGACCUGCUUGGAUUCUCCACACAUAGGAGAGAAGAUCUGGCUCCAGACUCCACUUGACGUCAAAGAUGAGGAUUCCACCGUAGCAAGUUUCGUUCUCUCUAUACACGGUUGCUGAUCGCCCAACGCACAUAAACGCACGAGUGUUUGGUGCCUUAUUUUCUAAUAUCGCCGAUAAUCAGCACAGCACCUUCAACCGAUAAGCCAAGAACGAAGAAUCCCAGGAAGUGCAGUUCGACGGAGCCAA
rnacentral:lncRNA from 1 species